rnacentral:rRNA from 1 species
UUGAACGCUGGCGGCAGGCCUAACACAUGCAAGUCGAGCGGUAACACAGAGAGCUUGCUCUCGGGUGACGAGCGGCGGACGGGUGAGUAAUGUCUGGGAAACUGCCUGAUGGAGGGGGAUAACUACUGGAAACGGUAGCUAAUACCGCAUAACGUCGCAAGACCAAAGUGGGGGACCUUCGGGCCUCAUGCCAUCAGAUGUGCCCAGAUGGGAUUAGCUAGUAGGUGGGGUAACGGCUCACCUAGGCGACGAUCCCUAGCUGGUCUGAGAGGAUGACCAGCCACACUGGAACUGAGACACGGUCCAGACUCCUACGGGAGGCAGCAGUGGGGAAUAUUGCACAAUGGGCGCAAGCCUGAUGCAGCCAUGCCGCGUGUGUGAAGAAGGCCUUCGGGUUGUAAAGCACUUUCAGCGGGGAGGAAGGCGGUGAGGUUAAUAACCUCAUCGAUUGACGUUACCCGCAGAAGAAGCACCGGCUAACUCCGUGCCAGCAGCCGCGGUAAUACGGAGGGUGCAAGCGUUAAUCGGAAUUACUGGGCGUAAAGCGCACGCAGGCGGUCUGUCAAGUCGGAUGUGAAAUCCCCGGGCUCAACCUGGGAACUGCAUUCGAAACUGGCAGGCUAGAGUCUUGUAGAGGGGGGUAGAAUUCCAGGUGUAGCGGUGAAAUGCGUAGAGAUCUGGAGGAAUACCGGUGGCGAAGGCGGCCCCCUGGACAAAGACUGACGCUCAGGUGCGAAAGCGUGGGGAGCAAACAGGAUUAGAUACCCUGGUAGUCCACGCCGUAAACGAUGUCGAUUUGGAGGUUGUGCCCUUGUGGCGUGGCCUCCGGAGUUAACGCUUUUAAUCGACCGCCUGGGGAGUACGGCCGCAAGGUUAAAACUCAAAUGAAUUGACGGGGGCCCGCACAAGCGGUGGAGCAUGUGGUUUAAUUCGAUGCAACGCGAAGAACCUUACCUGGUCUUGACAUCCACAGAACUUUCCAGAGAUGGAUUGGUGCCUUCGGGAACUGUGAGACAGGUGCUGCAUGGCUGUCGUCAGCUCGUGUUGUGAAAUGUUGGGUUAAGUCCCGCAACGAGCGCAACCCUUAUCCUUUGUUGCCAGCGGUUAGGCCGGGAACUCAAAGGAGACUGCCAGUGAUAAACUGGAGGAAGGUGGGGAUGACGUCAAGUCAUCAUGGCCCUUACGACCAGGGCUACACACGUGCUACAAUGGCAUAUACAAAGAGAAGCGACCUCGCGAGAGCAAGCGGACCUCAUAAAGUAUGUCGUAGUCCGGAUUGGAGUCUGCAACUCGACUCCAUGAAGUCGGAAUCGCUAGUAAUCGUAGAUCAGAAUGCUACGGUGAAUACGUUCCCGGGCCUUGUACACACCGCCCGUCACACCAUGGGAGUGGGUUGCAAAAGAAGUAGGUAGCUUAACCUUCGGGAGGGCGCUUACCACUUUGUGAUUCAUGACUGGGGUG